UGUGGCUGUCGUAAAAACCCUAUUUGUAAACAACCAGUCCUUUAACUAAGCGCUACGUCAUAAACACGGCGCGCUUGGAAGACCACGAUGUCAUCUUCCUUCUGUCAGGAGGAUCCCAGUGAAGCUACAGGAGUUUCAUUAACGUCAACAACUUGGACCGAACGGUUUGUUUUGCUUGAUGAAGAGCAGGAAGGGCAGCCUGGAGAGAAAGAGAAGCCGGGUUGAGCCCACUACCAUCAUCCACGUACCACGAGGAAGAUGAGGGAGAGAAAUUAUCCUACCAUUAAAGAGACUGUGAAAAGAACGUUGAGAACAUCACCACUCUACAGGAAGACACAGUCCAGUAAUGGGUGUCAGAAUUUCAGUAGUGAACGACAGGCAGUACUGAUGCAUUUACUGAGACGGCACUCGAGGGCCUACUCUGCGUGCUCAGAGUUCAAGCCCAGCAGGCUGCAGCGGUCCUGACAUAGUCCGGAACAGCAGCACAGUCUUUGGAUGACUCCUCUGAAGAUGAAACAUGGCGAGUUCUUCUCAAGAGAAGCAGUACAGGUGUGCCUCAGCUCCACGGUCCCUCCUGCAACCUCCGCUCCUGAUGCUAACCUCAUGUCUCCAUCACACCAAGCAGCAGACCUGGAUUGACAGACCUUUCUCCAGAGCUGCCCCCUCCCUCUGAAACCCCCCUCUCCAAAACACUAUUUGUGUAGUUUUUAAAGUAUUUUUUGCAUGAGAAUUGUUGAUCAUAACAUUUCCAGCAGAUGCCUUAAUGUAAUGUUUGUGCACAAUAAAUGACAUUGAUCAUAACAUAUUGCUAUUUCCUUGCACUUCUACACCAUGAUAUUGUCAGAUAAGAUGCUGAUUACAUUAAAGCAGUGAAUGCUCUUCUUUAAGCAACAUAAACACACAAUGAUCCAAUGGAUCGGAAGUAGAAUGGGCACAUUACAUUCUGU